rnacentral:rRNA from 1 species
GAUGAACGCUGGCGGCCUGCCUAAUACAUGCAAGUCGAGCGAACAGAUGAGGAGCUUGCUCCUCUGACGUUAGCGGCGGACGGGUGAGUAACACGUGGAUAACCUACCUAUAAGACUGGGAUAACUUCGGGAAACCGGAGCUAAUACCGGAUAAUAUAUUGAACCGCAUGGUUCAAUAGUGAAAGACGGUUUUGCUGUCACUUAUAGAUGGAUCCGCGCCGCAUUAGCUAGUUGGUAAGGUAACGGCUUACCAAGGCAACGAUGCGUAGCCGACCUGAGAGGGUGAUCGGCCACACUGGAACUGAGACACGGUCCAGACUCCUACGGGAGGCAGCAGUGGGGAAUCUUCCGCAAUGGGCGAAAGCCUGACGGCGCAACGCCGCGUGAGUGAUGAAGGUCUUCGGCUCGUAAAACUCUGUUAUUAGGGAAGAACAAAUGUGUAAGUAACUAUGCACGUCUUGACGGUACCUACUCAGAAAGCAACGGCUAACUACGUG